rnacentral:ncRNA from 2 species
AACUGAAUAACGGAUCACGGUGCCCGAAAGGGCUUGAUAGGGAAGAGGGGUGCAGCUUUAAGUGGAGCCAUUCCCCCGCGGACCCGCCGCUGUAAGCGAGGACAAUGGGCAUUACGUCACUGGUCGCAAGACCGGGAAGGCGCCCGGAGAAUGAAUCGCGAGCCAGAAGACCUGCCAUGAUCUCAGCACUCAA